rnacentral:tRNA from 1 species
UCUAAUAUGGCAGAUAAGUGCCAUGGAUUUAAGCUCCAUUUAUAAAAAUUUAAUUAUUUUUUGUUAGAA